GUUGCAGUAAAAGUGAAGUUAUCUCAGCUCCUUCCAGCUGAUUUCCGGAGAAAAGUCCUACUGGGAGACGCUGAAGAAAUGGGCCCUGAAUGGUGAUCAAUACCGAUUGAAUACGGAGAGAUUCACCAACGUGAUAUCACUAAAGAUGAUAUCAACCACAAGGAGGGCAAAAUUUAAAAAUAUUCUCGAAUUGCACAGUCGUUAAAACUGAACCCUUUAAUAAAUCGAAGAGUCAUUUAAGUCACCCAGA
rnacentral:misc_RNA from 1 species